CAGCCGCCACGGUAAUACGAGGGGGGCAAGCGUUGUUCGGAAUUAUUGGGCGUAAAGGGUGCGUAGGCGGUUUGGCAAGUUUGGUGUGAAAUCUUCGGGCUCAACUCGAAGUCUGCAUCGAAAACUGCCGGGCUUGAGUAUGGGAGAGGUGAGUGGAAUUUCCGGUGUAGCGGUGAAAUGCGUAGAUAUCGGAAGGAACACCUGUGGCGAAAGCGGCUCACUGGACCAUAACUGACGCUGAUGCACGAAAGCUAGGGGAGCAAACAGGAUUAGAUACCCGCGUAGUCCCUGUCUCUUAUAU
rnacentral:rRNA from 1 species